UAUUCCAGCUGCAGUGAGUUUCCCCA
rnacentral:piRNA from 1 species